UACGUAGGGUGCGAGCGUUGCCCGGAUUUAUUGGGCGUAAAGAGCUCGUAGGCGGCUUGUCGCGUCGACUGUGAAAACCCGUGGCUCAACCAUGUGGUCUGCAGUCGAUACGGGCAGGCUAGAAUUCGGUAGGGGAGACUGGAAUUCCUGGUGUAGCGGUGAAAUGCGCAGAUAUCAGGAGGAACACCGGUGGCGAAGGCGGGUCUCUGGGCCGAUAUUGACGCUGAGGAGCGAAAGCGUGGGGAGCGAACAGG
rnacentral:rRNA from 1 species